rnacentral:rRNA from 1 species
AUUGAACGCUGGCGGCAGGCCUAACACAUGCAAGUCGAGCGGAGCGGCGGACGGGUGAGUAAUGCCUAGGAAUCUGCCCGGGAGUGGGGGACAACGUCCGGAAACGGGCGAUAAUACCGCAUAAGAUCAGAUGAGUCGAGGUCGGAUUAGCUAGUUGGUGGGGUAAAGGCCUACCAAGGCGAUGAUCCGUAACUGGUCUGAGAGGAUGAUCAGUCACACUGGAACUGAGACACGGUCCAGACUCCUACGGGAGGCAGCAGUGGGGAAUAGUGGGACAUGGACGAAAGCCUGAUCCAGCCAUGCCGCGUGUGUGAAGAAGGUCUUCGGAUGGUAAAGCGCUUUAAGUUGGGAGGCGUUACCAACAGAAUAAGCACCGGCUAACUUCGUGCCAGCAGCCGCGGUAAUAC